GAUGAACGCUGGCGGCGUGCCUAAUACAUGCAAGUCGAGCGAACAGACGAGGAGCUUGCUCCUCUGACGUUAGCGGCGGACGGGUGAGUAACACGUGGAUAACCUACCUAUAAGACUCGGAUAACUUCGGGAAACCGGAGCUAAUACCGGAUAAUAUAUUGAACCGCAUGGUUCAAUAGUGAAAGACGGUUUUGCUGUCACUUAUAGAUGGAUCCGCGCCGCAUUAGCUAGUUGGUAAGGUAACGGCUUACCAAGGCGACGAUGCGUAGCCGACCUGAGAGGGUGAUCGGCCACACUGGAACUGAGACACGGUCCAGACUCCUACGGGAGGCAGCAGUAGGGAAUCUUCCGCAAUGGGCGAAAGCCUGACGGAGCAACGCCGCGUGAGUGAUGAAGGUCUUCGGAUCGUAAAACUCUGUUAUUAGGGAAGAACAAAUGUGUAAGUAACUAUGCACGUCUUGACGGUACCUAAUCAGAAAGCCACGGCUAACUACGUG
rnacentral:rRNA from 1 species